AGGGGAAUCUUGUCAUUGGUCUUGUUUUUUAAAAUCCCAGUUCACCCCUUACCACCCUCUCAUGCUCUCCAGGUGGUCCUGUGACCAUCAGCACCCGAUAGACGAUUCCUUUACUCUUAAGGACACAAGACAGAGGAAAGGAUCUUUUUUCUUGUCAUAGCCACUGGCCCAUCAAGUAAAAAAGGCCAACACAUUGCAGUAACUCCAUCCCCAAGUGAAAUAGUAAACCUAUAUUACGUAAAGGAAGUACAAGACGAUUAAGUAAGUACAUACAACACAAGCACAAAUUGCAUCCUUAAUAUGUUUGCCCUUUGAGGAGCAGAAGGGGAAUGAACCAGGAGAGAAAGCAGGGAGAAAAGAAAAAUACAGGAUAUGGAACGGGCCAUGGAUUCAGUGCAGGAAGGACCUGAGUCCUGAAGGAGCUGGACUUUCAGUUUGUAGGAUGUGAUUGGUCUGUAGGUCUGUUGUCCAAGUCUUCUUCCCGUGGUGUCCCAGCUGCUGGUCUCACACAGAUUAGAGCCUGUUCUCCAUAUCCUCGGCUGCCCACUGACAUCCUGCUUCACACCAAACAGCCGCUCUGGAUGCAUCUUAAUGUGAGCACUUCCCCUCCUCCCCUCUGAGAAGGGAGCCUGGCAGCUCUCCACUUUGGCGCAGAGUGAGCCUCAGGCUCCAGCACCCUCGCAGUGCAGUCCUUUGCUCUGCUGUCCAUCCUUCAUGAGACCUGCCCUGAGACAGGGCACCUCAUUAUUUCAAGAUGGCUGCUGGAGCUCCAGCUAUAUCAUCCACGUUCUGGACUGCAGAGAGGAGAAAACAGGGAGGACAAACUGACCCGGCUGAGUCUGUUCCCUUUAAGGAACCUUUCCAGUUUCUUCACAAAACUUCUGCUUACAUCUCAUUGUCCGGAACUUAAUCAAAUGGCCAAACCUAGCUGCAAGGAAGGCUGGGAACUGUAGUCUUUAUUUCAGAUAGCACUAUACCUUGCUAAAUAUCAAGGUUUGGUUACCAAGGAAGAAGAGAAGAGUGAAUAUCAGGUAGGGAACUAGCAAUUUCUGCCACACCAGCUCUGACCUUUGCCCUGAGAUGUAGACUUACGUAUCUUGAUGCCCAUAAUAUAUCCAUUUGGAUGUAAAAUGGGCAUUUCAAACUAAACCUGGACAGACCUCUUGAUUCUUCCCAUGCUCAAAUCUACUCCUCCCCAACCUUUUCCAUUCCAGUAAAUGACCUCACC